rnacentral:lncRNA from 1 species
CCGCCGCCCUCCGGGGGCCGCAGCGCGAUCUCCAUGGCCCGGGGGCGGGGGGCAUGCUGGGCCCUGCCGGGCUCGCCGCUCCCGUCCGCUGCUCUCCGCCGGUCUGGUCGGGCGGGCAGGGCUGCUGGCUCCCGGGUCCUGACGUCAGGCUGCCACCGCCUCGCCUCAGACUCUGGGCUCUGGCAGCCGUUACCAAGCAGCCAAAAGCCUCCUUCCCGCAGACGCCACCCGCGGCCUCCGCCCACCGCGCCGUCUCCGCCCCGCGCCCCCUCCGGCCGGGCUGUAGUCCCGCAGGAGGGCAGGAGGGCAGGAGGGAGCCGCGCGCCGAGCCAGGAACAGGUAGAAAGGACCAAAGCCAGGAUUUGACCCAAGCUGUCAGGUGGAUGCCCUUGCUCCCUGCACUCCUCCCCUGC